rnacentral:SRP_RNA from 1 species
GGGAGAGCUAGGCUGGCGCGCUAGCCCUGCGUUGUUACCGUGAACGAGCUUUACACGGAGCCGAAGCCCAAAGAAGGGUCGUUAGAGUUGUUGUGGUCCUUUGCCGCUUCGUAGACGACUUGUCCUGUGGGAUGGACUUGGGCAGAACCAGGUCAGAUCCGGAAGGAAGCAGCCUUCACCUUCAAUCUCCAUGUUCAGAGGGUCACAAGCUCGAGAAACUAUGAGGGUUAAACCAGUGAAGCUUGGCGGGUUCAACUGCGGGCGUGCCCC